UUUGAUGUGUCUGUCUUGGAUGGAGGUACGAGGGGCGACGCGAGUUUUGUUAUUCGAGACCUAUCUGCCAAGGUCGUGGCUGCAGAGGCAGUCAACUCUUCAAUAUAUCGGUUUCGGGUGCGGAGCUGAGGGCCGCGUGGGCGGGCCUUCGUCACACCCGGUAUGUUUUAAGGGCCAGUUCCAUUGUCCUAAAGGGGGACUCGGCCACGGUCAUCAGUUGGAUCCGGGGGAGCCCUAGAGGUAAUGGUUGUGUCCACCUAUAAUAACCCCAAAUUUUUUUUAUAUAACAAGGGAUAGAAUAGUCCUUUAAAAAUGAUAUAAGGGGUAAAAUUGGAAGAAAUCAAAAAAAUAAUGGCAUAGUUGUAGAUACGUUGAAGUGGUAAGGGUAAAAUUGGAAAAGAAUCAAAAGUUAAUGGCAUAACAGUAAAUAUGUUGAAGUGUUAGGGGCAAAAUGGAAAUUUAAUAAUAUUAAAGAAAGGGUGAAUAGUAUCUUGAUGUGAUUUAAUUGGAGGGUUUGAGCUGGCUCACGGGAGUGAAACAGAGAGGAAAGGGGGAGGGUUCUCAGACGACACAGAGAGAAAGAAAAAGAGAAGAAGAAGA
rnacentral:lncRNA from 1 species